rnacentral:lncRNA from 1 species
GGCGUCCCUGACCUGUAAGUACUGACCCCGUGAAAAGGACACACGCAAGGACUCUUAAGAGAAUUUAGUGCGGCUGCCAGAGCUGUGGAUGGCACUGGAGCUGUGAGUGAAAUGGGGUACCAGGGCAGGAGACUGCGCCCACAAUGUUCUCCUGGGAUUUGGUGAACAGAGGUUGAUGCCACUCGAGGUCAACACUGUCACAGGCUGCCGCUGAGCACGCAGAAGCUUCCAGAAGUCCGCCAGGAAUCAUCUCUCAAGGGUUUCUCAGAAGAGAAGUUACCUAAAGUCGCGAAACCCAGGUGUCCCCAGCACUUACCCUUGAUGGCCCUUACUCCUCGGGGACUCAGGAAGCUCAUUGCGGUUAGGAGUACCGGGACCAGCUCCACAAAAAGGACCAUUGCUGGGAUAAAAACCACUAAGGAGGGGCUCCUAACGGGCUUGGAGGCGCCUGGUGUUGAUUCCAGUGUUUGCGAAACAGAAGCAGAGGCAGAUGGAUCUCUGUGAAUCCAAGGCCUGCCAGUUACUCAUAGGGGUUCCUGGGUGCCGGGGUUAUGGCUGCCGUGUGGAGCUCUUAGGAUGAGCGCACUGCCAACCACGAUGCCCAUGCCCAUCAAGCCCACCACCAGGCCCAGGGCACAGACCGAAGUCUCCAUUGUCUCAGAUACCUGGACUGGCUCCUGCGUUUCUGAGGGAAAUGAACAGAUGCAGCUCAGAAUUCUUGACACCUCUGAGUCCAGAGAGAGCCGGAAGACUCCUACUGAGCAGCCUCAGUAGAGCUCAACCUCUCUUGGGUAAGAAGAGGAGACACCAGCCCCCGACUAUACAGCAGGGAGUCCAGGGCCGCUCCAAGGAGGGUCCCUCAGCAGAGGGCAUCUGUCGCCCAUUCUGAGUGUGGACCAGGGGUCCUCCCAUCGUUGUAUCUCUGGAUCAAGGCUCUCAGGUUGUUCUUCAGGCUGACGAUGUAGGGCAGAGCUUCCUGGGCGUCAAAUGCAUAAACCUUGCUGAACUCCCGGCAGGUCCCAGACCGUUUCCUCCCCGUGAAGAUCCACGUCGAACUGCUCAUCGCCAUCAGACGCGUACAUGCAUUCACCGGAUGGAUGUUGUGUCUGUACAAAUAUGUCAUACAUUGCUAUGUGUUCUGCUGUAGAAGCAAGAUAAAGAAAAAUGAGACCAAUAUAAGAACUAUUGUGUAAGUGGUAAGGCAGAGGAAUGGCUGGAUUUAUUAAUAAAGUCAGAAGAGGCCCAAAAAAAGGGGGAAUAGGGGAGGAGAAACAGCAGACAGGAGGCAGUGUGGGGUGUUGGGGAGAGGGAAGAAGAUAGAAUCUUCAGUCCAUCUGCCCCUGCCCACUCCCAGGUGGAACCCCAUGGAUCUGCAGGGAUCUGGGGCGGGGUUACAGAAGCCUCUGUUGAGCACUUGCUGAGUGCCAAGCCUGUUAAUAGGCUACAUGUUUGACGCAUAUUAAUGCUACAACAACCCUAGAUGCAACCAAGGAAAUACAGAGAAGGUCGGUGACUUGCCUCAGGUCACACAGCAAUGCACAGCUAGGAGAGAGACUUUCACCUCCCCACAGCUCCGGGUUCUAGGACUGCAGGUGUGAAAUUAGAUGUUUAAACUUGUGGAGGUGGCAGGGCAGGCAUGCUAGUGUCCUUAUUACAGAAAAGGUGGGAAGCUCGCUGCAUUGUAGUGAUACAGUUGUUGAGUUUCUGUGUUAGUUCAUACAUUUGCACCUGCAGCAUGUGCUAAUUCUGUGACUCUGUAUUUUUUUUUUAAUCUUAAGCAUAUUAAAUCUAACAGAAUGGA